rnacentral:lncRNA from 1 species
CAAUGGUGAGCGCCUCAAACCUUACCUAGCUGACACAACCAUCGCUGAUGGAGAACAGAUUCCCCUAAGCGACCCCUCUCUAGCCUGAUCGGCUAACCAACGUCAAGCUAGUGACUUUAACCAAGCGCUUAGUGGGAGGCAACCCACUGGUAAGUGUAAAUAGCUGUUUCCUUUUCUUUAUUUUUAUUUCUAUUUCUUUUGAAUUUAAUUACCAGGUACUAAAACAAAGAAAACCCGAGAUCCCGCUGUUGAAGCAGCCCAUGUGAUUGCUCCCCAACCAGAGCAGUCCAUGUGCUUGCUCCCUUACCAGAUCAAUCCAAGUGCUUGCUCCCCCUACGAGAGCAGUCAUUUCCGAUUGAACCCAUGUAAGUAUCUCGGACCCAAAAAAAAAAAAAAAUAAAAAAAAAAAAAUAUAUAUAUAUAUAUAUAUAUAUAAAUAAAUAAGAAGGGGAUAGGUUAGGGUUUCCCAAUAUAAGGGCGACCCAAGCACCACUUCCCCACAUUCUUAACUUAGCCGCCGUACAUUGCUCAAGAGAAUAAGAAUCCUAAAACUCAUUCCUUUUUCUCCUCAAUCCUUUCUCGGGAUUUUUGAGGCUAAUCAAUCUCUUUGUUGAGUUUUAUUGCAGUUCUAUCCUCUCCACUCACAAGGUAAGAAAAAAACGACUCUCCCCUCCAUGCGAUUUCAAAAUCGCGAUUUGGGAUUUCUUUCCUAAGUCGUUUGAUUUUCGC